UUACGGUCAAAUCACGCUGAAAACACCGGUUCUCGUUCGAUCACCGAAGUUAAGCAUCGUAGAGCCAGGUCAGUGCUUAGAUGGGGGACCGCUUGGGAACACCUGGUACUGUAAG